CCUACGGGUGGCAGCAGUGGGGAAUAUUGCACAAUGGGGGAAACCCUGAUGCAGCGACGCCGCGUGAGUGAAGAAGUAAUUCGUUAUGUAAAGCUCUAUCAGCAGGGAAGAAAAUGACGGUACCUGACUAAGAAGCCCCGGCUAACUACGUGCCAGCAGCCGCGGUAAUACGUAGGGGGCAAGCGUUAUCCGGAUUUACUGGGUGUAAAGGGAGCGUAGACGGUGCGCCAAGUCUGAAGUGAAAGGCCGAGGCUUAACCGCGGAACUGCAUUGGAAACUGGCGAACUAGAGUGCGGGAGGGGUAAGCGGAAUUCCUAGUGUAGCGGUGAAAUGCGUAGAUAUUAGGAGGAACACCAGUGGCGAAGGCGGCUUACUGGACCGUAACUGACGUUGAGGCUCGAAAGCGUGGGGAGCAAACAGGAUUAGAUACCCGGGUAGUC
rnacentral:rRNA from 1 species